AGGGACGUAGCUCAAUGGGCAGAGUAGUGGUCUCCAAAACCAUUUGUUGAAGGUUCGAGUCCUUCCGUUCCUGCCA
rnacentral:tRNA from 1 species